AGGAUCAACGCUGGCGGCGUGCCUAACGCAUGUAAGUCGAACGCAGCGUCUUCGGACGCUGAGUGGCGAACGGCUGAGGAACACGUACGAACCUGCCCUGCCGUGGGGAAUAACGCCGCGAAAGCGGUGCUAAUACCGCGUACGCUGGAGCGUGCUCCAGGAAAGUCGCAAGAUGCGGCAGGAGGGGCGUGCGGCCCAUCAGGUGGUUGGUGGGGUAACGGCCUACCAAGCCUUUGACGGGUAGCUGGUCUGUGAGGACGAUCAGCCAGACUGGGACUGCGAAACGGCCCAGACACCUACGGGUGGCAGCAGCGAGGAAUCUCCACAAUGGGCGCAAGCCGAUGGAGCAACGCGCGUGGAGGACGACGGCCUUGGUUGUAAACGUCCGUUGGGGGGAGGAUACGGACACGUACCCCAGAAGCACGCCCGCUAACUCUGUCGCCAGCAGCCGC
rnacentral:rRNA from 1 species